UACAGAGGGGGGCAAGCGUUUAUUCGGAAAUUAUUGGGCGUAAAGGGCGCGUAGGCGGCCUGUUAAGUCGGACGUGAAAUCCCUCGGCUCAACCGGGGAACUGCGUCCGAUACUGGCGGGCUUGAAUUCGGGAGAGGGAUGUGGAAUUCCAGGUGAUAGCGGUGAAAUGCGUAGAUAUCUGGAGGAACACCGGUGGCGAAGGCGGGUCUCUGGGCCGAUACUGACGCUGAGGAGCGAAAGCGUGGGGAGGCGAACAGG
rnacentral:rRNA from 1 species